rnacentral:lncRNA from 9 species
GAGCAAGCAAGCAAAGCCUUUAUUGCAGGAAAGCAAACAGCUCCCAGGACAGCUGGGAGGGGGAAGAAGAGUCCCAGCUCCUAUUGUCCUAUAGGGGUUUUUAUACCUUAAAGAUGGGGGUUACCAACGUGGGGUCCAGAAAGAUGUGGGUUUUUUUCCUAUUGGCCUUGCCCAGUUCAGUCCUUGUCCAAUAGGGGUCUUAGGGUGGAAAUGCCCCUUAAGUCUCAUGGUUUCAUUUCCCUUCUCCUCUCAGAGAUUGAAUCACAGCGGGUUAGGGAUUAAUAUCCAUCUGGGUGUAGGUACACUCCCUAUAGUAAACAAGGCCUGUGGGGAUGUUACUCUCUGGAGCCCUUAAGCCACAAAUGUUAAUCAAUAGCCAUAUCAAAGAAUGCACUGAAGCCCAUGCUCCUACACUGACUACCUGAGUGAUUAUUCUGCCUCACUUGUGAGCUGUGUUGCCGGUUGCAGGUGCAGCCCUAAAAAGAGAAUAAAAUAAAAAUAAAUUAAAAAAAAAUAAACAAAGCUCUCAUGUUGUGUGUUUUUAUUUCAGUGGACACUUGUUUCACAUAUGCCCACUUACUGUUUACCUUCUAUAAGGAAAAAGUUCUUUCAUCAGUAAACCCAACUGGCAGGCUCUGGGUGGAAAUCUCUUCUUGACUUCUCAAAUUUUCAGGUACUUAGCUUGCUCAUGGAAAAGAAAAUGCAAAUAACAGAAACUGUCCUACAAGGUUUUUAUUUUUUUUCUUUGGGGCUGCAGCCGAGGCAUCUGGAAGUUCCGAGGCUGCAGGUUGAAUUGGAGCUCCAGAUGCCAGCCUACACCACAGCCACAGCAACGCCAGAUCCGAGCCACAUCUGAGACCUAUGCUGCACCUAGCAGCAACACCAGAUCCUUAAUACACCGAGUGAGGCCAGGGAUAGAAGCCAAAUCCUCAUGGAUGUUGCUGAAACAGCCCCUGUCCAGAGUUGCUGAAUAGAAAUGUGGAGACAGUUUUGGAUGAAGGAGAAAAAGAUAGCUUUAGUGCUUUGCCAGGCAAGGGAGCCAAACCAAGCUAAUGCCUUAAAGACUGUGCCCCUCCUAGGAAAGGAUUAGAAGAUGGUUUUAUAAUUUGGGGAGAAUAGGGCCAAAGAUAAGGAUCAUGGUAGAAGCAAGCUUGCAUUGUUUCUCAAAGCUGGUGUUUAGUGGCCUUAGGACUGGUUCUGGUGGGCCUCCUCCUUCCAGGAACUGAAGAAGGCUUCAUCAAGUAGUUCUUCCUUUUUGUUGGGGGUUUUAGGUCUGCAGAAAGGCUCAAAGACAUUGCUUUUUUUUUUUUCUUUUUCUUUUCUUUUUUUUUUUUUUUUUUUUGGUCUUUUUGCCUUUUUUCUAGGGCUGCUCCCAUGGCAUAUGGAGGUUCCCAGGCUGGGGGUCUAAUCGGAGCUGCAGCCAUCAGCCUACACCAGAGCUACAGCCACGUGGGAUCCGAGCCACGUCUGCGACCUACACCACAGCUCAUGGCAUCACCAGAUCCUUAACCCACUGAGCAAGGCCAGGGAUCGAACCCGCAACCUCAUGGUUCCUAGUCGGAUUCGUUAACCCCUGUGCCAUGGUGGGAACUCCUCAAAGACAUUGUUAUGCAUAUUCCUUGAGGAGGAACCAGGACUCUGCCCCAAGGCUGCACUAUUGUCUCUGGACUUCUCCCUGGUCUGUGCAUCCCCUCCCUUCCCUGAUUAGCAACUGCCCUUUGGAACUCAGGGAAGGUCAUGAAGCUGAGGCUUAUUCCCUAAAAACAAGAAAUAGAAGACACAGAAAGGCUUGGGUGCUCAGGAGCCUCACAGGGCCCUGCUCGGUUACAUGGAUAUGAGUCCUCCUCAUGGAUACUAGUCCGGUUCUUAACCCACUGAGCCACAGUGGGAACUCCCUGUCCUACAAGAUUAUUAAGGAAGAUUGAUUUCUUAGAUCAAGGCCAAAGCCACUUAAGUGCUAAUUGUAAUUACAGGAAACCCCAUCCUCCUCUGGCCCCAGAGCCCAUCCCACUUCCAGGAGGUGCAAGUCUUUGCUAGGCAGGGUCCCCUUGGCCUCCCCUUCCCACAAGGGUGUGUUCAAUUGAACUGCAUCACUGAGCCUCCACUGCAGGUAAGCGGAGAUGGGGGCUGUGGGCACAGGAACAAGCCAGGUCCUCUGAGUUGAUAUCUGGUUCCCUGCCAGUGAAUCUAAACGCAUCAUAUUUGGCUUAUUUCAGACCAUAUACUGUAGUUCCGAGGCCCUUCAAGAACCUUGUCCAGAAUCACCUGGAAUGUUUACUAGAAACACAGGAUCUGAACCUGUCCUAAAGGGGAACAUCUGUGAGACAAAGCCACAGGUGCUGGUCUUGAAGUCAAGUGUGGAAGCCCCUACAGAGUGGCCCAGUGAGGAAGACACUCUCCCAUCCUGAGCUAAGCUAAGGGAUCAGGGCCCUUAGGGCUGCUGAGGGUAGGGAGCCAUUUUCCUGGAAGAUAAGAAGAAGAAAUGUUUGGUAAACAAAGUUUGCCCUGCGAUGCAGAUGAGUCAGGUAAAAAAGUGAUCUCUGUGUGUCACCAAAAAAAAAAAAAAAAGGAUCAGUAGAUCUAAGAAAGAAAUGGAAAAUUUUAUUCAAACCAAAUUGAGGAUUAUAAUCCAGGAACAGCAUCUCAGAAAGGCCCAAGCAGGGCUCUGAUAGUUAGAAGUCCAAGCACAGUUACAUAAGUUUUUGAGACAAAGGACUGUAUAUUAAAUGAUGGUCUUAUGUAUAUUAAAUGAAUGUCUUACUGUCAUUCUACACAAUCCAGAUCUGUAAGUACAAAGUGAUGGGCCAUUGUGGCCCCUUCCAAGAUCAAGAAGGAAUGUUAUCUUUUAAAGAUUUGUCUUAUUGGUGCUGGGAGAAUGGUGCUCUUUAUGGUUGAUCAGGUAUUUCUGCCAAUGGGGAGGUCCAAUUGAUGCAUAAUACAGAUACAUAAUGCACAGUAGAGGGGAGAAAGGAGGCCAAAGGGCAGAGAAAAUGUUUAAUGUUUAAGUUUUCAUGUCUUGCCAUAAAAUAUGAAUUUUAUGUCACAUCUGGCAAUUGCUCUCUUCCUGCUCAGACACCCUUUCUGAUAUGAUUUACAAUUUAUAUGAUAUAAUUUAUAAUUGUAGAUUUCCCCCACAAAUGAGCCUGCUGUAUCUUGACUGCCUUCAUCUCAAAUACCUCAUAUGCUAAGAAGGCAUAUUUGGGGGUGACAUGUUCUGACCCCUUCAGGAUAUAAAAUAAAUCCCCCCAAACUACUUGGACAGAUGACCAAGGCUGUGUUCUAAUUUGCAUGUGGUACAUCUAUCUGUCCCAUAGCCUGUGCUCUUUCCACAGAGAGUUAGGAUAGAUACUAAAUAGAUGGGAUGUGGGUGUAGAUGGGCUAGUAGGAAAGGUAGAGAAAUAAAAGAAUGGGGUUAAGAGAGGAUAUUCUGUGUUCAGCUGGCCUGCAGCAGUGGGUAGGACCACCUGAACUAAACCCAGAGGUUUUCUAGGAAGAAAUAUCUUCUCAUCCAUAGCAACUAAUGAUUUGAGGCAACAACUGUUCUCCUGACCAAGAAACCUGCUUAUCUUGGCUUCAUUUUCCCUGAGCUUCCAGAUGCUGGAAGAGCAGUUAACCAGCUGAGCUGCAAACCAUUGAGUGCAGACCAUGAGAAGGGCUCCUCUUGGCAGCUGCAAUUAAAAGUUCUGAAGACUCGAUAGGAUUAUAUGAGGACUGAGAUCCCAGGCUCCUACAGGGGCUCAGUCCCCCAAUCUGCCCCCCACACCCCACCUACACUUCUGGAGUUACCACAAAUUUAGGAUGUUGCUCACAACCAACCCCUAACCCACCUUGGGUUCCUUUAAUUUCCAAGAACAGCUCACAGAGCUCAGAAAACAUUUUAAUUACUACUUUACUGGUUUAUUCUCUC